GACGAACGCUGGCGGCGUGCCUAACACAUGCAAGUCGAGCGGAGUCGAUCGACGGAAGCCUUCGGGCGGAAGAUGGUUGACUUAGCGGCGGAUGGGUGAGUAACGCGUGGGCAACCUGCCUCGAAGACCGGGAUAACAGCCCGAAAGGGCUGCUAAUACCGGAUGUGGUCAAGGAUCCGCAUGGAUUUUUGAUUAAAGGGGAAACCCGUUUCGAGAUGGGCCCGCGUCCGAUUAGCUGGUUGGUGAGGUAAUGGCUCACCAAGGCGACGAUCGGUAGCCGGACUGAGAGGUUGGCCGGCCACAUUGGGACUGAGACACGGCCCAGACUCCUACGGGAGGCAGCAGUGGGGAAUAUUGCGCAAUGGACGAAAGUCUGACGCAGCGACGCCGCGUGAAGGAAGAAGGCCUUCGGGUUGUAAACUUCUUUGGUGAGGGACGACAAAAGGACGGUACCUCAGGAACAAGCCAACGGCUAACUACGUGCCAGCAGCCGCGGUAACGAAGUAGUACA
rnacentral:rRNA from 1 species